UGCUCGUGCCUCUGUCUGUUGGUCCAUCCAGCCACUCUUCAGUCCAUAAACAUGUGCUGAAGAUCUGUGUUGGGCCUGGUUGGUGCUAAGGGUUCUGACAUGAAUACACCCCAGUGUCAGCCCCUGCGCGCCCAUGGAGGAGGUAGAGGAGAUAGAUGCAGGGUCACUUAAGGGUGUACUCAGGGGUCACUGGGCACAUGUUUCUCCCCAGCUCUGUGUUCAGGGACAUCAUGAUCACGGCUCAAGAGCCACCAUCACGAAAGUAUUUACACCCUGGGCAUUGGCCAGUGCUCGCACCGGGACUCACUUCCCAGGAAAGCGGGAAGUUGGUGACCACACACCCCUGGGUGUCAUCCAAGAAAGCGGGGACCACGAAGCAGAAGUCGGUAAUUCUGCCUGAGGGAGGCUGGAGCACUCCUGGAGCACCU